rnacentral:rRNA from 1 species
UACGUAGGGUCCGAGCGUUGUCCGGAAUUAUUGGGCGUAAAGAGCUCGUAGGCGGUUUGUCGCGUCUGCUGUGAAAUCCCGAGGCUCAACCUCGGGUCUGCAGUCGAUACGAGCAAACUAGAGUGUUGCAGGGGAGACUGGAAUUCCUGGUGUAGCGGUGAAAUGCGCAGAUAUCAGGAGGAACACCGGUGGCGAAGGCGGGUCUCUGGGCAACAACUGACGCUGAGGCGCGAAAGCGUGGGGGAGCGAACAGG